UGAAGAAUAUUGGGCAAUGGGCGAAAGCCUGACCCAGCAACGCCGCGUGAAGGAAGAAGGUUUUCGGAUUGUAAACUUCUGUCCCAUGGGACGAAACAAAUGACGGUACCAUGGGAGGAAGCCCCGGCUAACUACGUGCCAGCAGCCGCGGUAAUACGUAGGGGGCAAGCGUUGUCCGGAAUUAUUGGGCGUAAAGGGUGCGUAGGCGGCCUUUCAAGUUGGAUGUGAAAUCUCCGUGCUUAACAUGGAAAUUGCAUUCAAAACUGGAGGGCUUGAGUGUGGAAGAGGUAAGUGGAAUUCCCAGUGUAGCGGUGAAAUGCGUAGAUAUUGGGAGGAACACCAGUGGCGAAGGCGACUUACUGGGCCACAACUGACGCUGAUGCACGAAAGCGUGGGGAGCAAACAGG
rnacentral:rRNA from 2 species